rnacentral:lncRNA from 1 species
CCAAAAGGGUGUGUUGAGGUAUGUGAAACUGUGUGUGCAUGACUGUACCAUAGAUGUUGCUCCCACUUAAUAAUUCCCUAAAUGCGUGCAAAGCUCCAUCUUGUUUCAAUCCUUGCCCAACCAAUCAUUCAUAACACACCAACAUGUCUGCAGGGAGAAAGGUGACCCACAGAAAUGCACAAUAAACGAUACAUACACUUCAGAGGAGCUGGACAAGCUUUUCAAGUUCCUGACAAACAACAGGACGCCAGAGAAACCCAGCUACGGUGGUUCUACACACAUGCG